GCGAGCGGGAUGGGGCCGUAUUCCUCCAGCCUCGGUGCUGCCGAAACAAGGUUUCUCCUCUAUUGCAGGCUGAGCGAAGGCUGCGGCAGAGUCUAUCGUUAUCCCGACCCGGUGAGACGGUGGAGGCAGUGAGUGUGUAGAAGUCGCUAGCAAGGUGACAGUUGAUGAGAAGAUAUUUCUACGGAGAAGUCACGGUGGAUUUGGCAAGGGAAAAUGAUGCUGGACCAAGCCGGUCCUGGUGCAGCUGGUUGCAGUGCUGCAUGUGUGGAAGAGAUGUGCCAGCUGUAUCUCUGGACAGAAGUGUUUCUUCAGUAGAGGUUCCCGAGCUCAAAGUUUCUUGCUAGGUAACCCGAGCUCGUGCUUCCUGGCAAAGCCCUUUGUGUUGAGUCUCGAAUGAGAGAACAUCCCACAUCAGAAGGGACUCCUGCCUCCUUGCUCUCUAUGGCACUGCCUAGGCUUCAGCUGCUCUGAGUGACGUCCAAAUGCUGUCUGUUCCAAUACCUCCUCCCUUCUUUCUGGCAAGUUUUCUCUUAUCUACCAUCUGAACCUCCUCUGCCCUAACAUCAGGUUGUUCCUUCCCAUCCUAUUGCUAGCUAUAGGGGAAAAGAAGCUGACCCUUGCCACAGCCUCCUUUCAGCUGGUUGGAGAGAGGGAGUUUCAGCCCUUCCUUGAAUGCUUUUUAAGACCUGUAUUCCUUUUUUGUCUUGUACUGCAUUGCCCUGAACUGCACACAACACUCACCCUGAGCAGACUGCAGUUCUCCUAAUUUAGUGAAAUCAGUAAACAUAAUAAAUACACAUUUGACUCUU